CAACAACCCCCAAACCCAGUCCUCACCUCCCACAUGCUUUUCAUCACCCGCUCUCACAUCCCAUCUGGGGCCUCUGCUUCCAUCCUACCAUUUCGCAAGCCUGGCCAACUCAAGCUCCGUGUGCUGCACCUAGAGCAGCCCAUCUCUGUGUCAGCUACCUGCUCUCACUCUUCUGUUAUCUUCAACCCAUCUUCUUUGCCCUAAACUCCUAGGCUCCCCCACCUACAUUCCACCACAUUGAAGGGCUUACCUGCAUGGUGCCAGUAAAGGAGAACUGCAAUCCAAGCAAAUGUGGUGGGUGUGAAGCUUUCAAGAAGUUGGGUCAAGAACAAGGACUGAAAGAGGAGCAUCAAUUUAUGGGGGCCACUGAGGCUUUCAGAGAUUUUGUGACCUACCAAACCGGCACAGCUAGUAAAUGGAUGACAAGGUAGGUUCAAACCCAGGACUCCUGAUCCGCAGGCGGAGAUCUACUAUAGAACACUGUUUCUUUCUGACC
rnacentral:lncRNA from 1 species